UGGGUACUUACACUGAACCGCCUCAGACCUCCAGAAAGAAUGGUGAAACGAAAAAUGAUUAAUAAGAAGAAUUUGAGUGGAACUUUGAUUACUCCACUAUCGGUUUUGGAUUCUUUAUAGGGCCAAGCAAGAUGGACCAGUAGUCUUGGGUUGGCGUCAUCCUUGGGAAGGGCAUGGAGAUCACUCACAUGAUCAUGUGCCUGAAGACAAGGUGUAGAUGUUAGAACAUCCAAGAUAUGCGAACUUGGAAUAUUGAAUUAUAGAGCUAAGCGAGUGCUUUGGAUUGCCCUCCGCCAGCUUGAAGUAAUUGAGACCCACAGUGGAUAUGGUUCUCAUCACACAUCUUUCCUGUAAUGAAUUAAGAUUGUCUGCUACAUUUUUGACCUGGCUCUGAUCCAUUAGAUCUGUGUAACUAUGCUGUAAGAUUUCACAGUAGAACGAGAGACAUGUGAGAAGGCUUCAAGUUACAAAGGACACAAACCUUCCGAUUCUGCACCAGUGAUUUAGAGAACAUAGGAAAUUCACAUCCAAAUGGAAGAAAAUUUGAAAAGGGAAGCAAAAUAAAC